rnacentral:lncRNA from 1 species
UACAAAUUCAAAUAAGCAAACCGGUUACAAAUUAAGGCAAAACACUAAUAGAGGCCCAAAACUACAAAUCAUUCUAUUGUAUACUUAACAAUUGAGGCCUAAAUACAAACCAUAAGCAAAGCCCAACUGAAAUUAUAUACCUGGUCUCACUUCAACUCACCUCUUAGAUUUAUCUGUAGAGGAGGCAGUGGAAAAAAGUGGUGAUAUCUACGGAGGUGCAAGCCACUGGUGGGUAUAAGUAGCACGGCUCGAAGUGGUGUGAAGGAGCCUGAGGAUUUUGGGUCGGAUUAGAGGUCCAUAUGUGUGGGUUGUGAGUUGUCGACGACUGUAAUUGAAGGUGAAAGACCGCAGAAGGCGAAAGGGAUGGCGGUGGAUUCUAGAGAUUGUGGUGUGACGGUGGGUAGAAGGUAGUUGUAUGUAGUAGGUUAUUUUGUAUGUUGGUGGCUACUGGAAACCUUGGAACAAAUUAAAAAUUUUCCUUUUGUGGAGCUGCAAGGAACUUUCAAGGUCAUGACCAACGAUUUGGAUGGAUUAAGUGUAGGAUUGGGUAUGUCAGAUUGUUUGGGUUGGAGUUUCAGCAGCAAUUAUGGUUAUGGACGGUAGAUGGUUGGAGGUGGUAGUAGAUGGGAGAGGUAACAGACGAGUUUGGUUGGAUGAAUUGUGCAGAAGAAAUCUUACUCAAGUUAAGCUCUGAUACCACUUUGAUGCCGGACAAAAGGGAUUCCAGCGGAAAAUCAAAUAGCAGAAAAGAAACAAAAUUGCAGAACUUCUGCAAAAAGGAAAAGAGAAAAGGAAGAGAAGAAGAAGACGACAGCAAGGGGGGAAGGAACUCGGAGAAGAGGGAGAAGUUAGGGAGAAAUGGGAAGGAAAACAUGAGGCACAAACAUAUCAUUCAUUUUCAUCCUUCAUCGUCUGCCUCUUUCACAUCCACUAUAUCACUUGUAGAUUAAAGUUGUGGGUUUGGGUCAUGCCCAAUUAAAAACCCAAUUUACUAGUCCAAAAUAAUAAAAUCCAAAAAUAAUAAAAAGAUGUCCUCAUCAAGAACCAUUGCAUGACAGACCUAAAAUGGUUGGAAGCUAUGUUCUAGACUCGGUUCUGUGGUCACAUAGAGGUAUAAUAGCACUGAUAUUUAGUUACGUUUUGGGAAACCAUUCUUCUGAGUUUUAUUUUUCUCUUCCUUCCAACCCACCUUUCUAUCAUUC